rnacentral:rRNA from 1 species
CUCUCUUUUAUAGGGUGUAAACCUUAAACUGCCCGUACGUAUAGGCUGCGCAACUGUUGGGAAGGGCGAUCGGGUGCGGGCCUCUUCGCUAUUACGCCAGCCUGGCGAAAGGGGGAUGUGCUGCAAGGCGGAUUAAGUUGGGUAACGCCAGGGUUUUCCCAGUCACGACGUUGUAAAACGACGGCCAGUGAAUUGUAAUACGACUCACUAUAGGGCGAAUUGAAUUUAGCGGCCGCGAAUUCGCCCUUCCUACGGGAGGCAGCAGUGGGGAAUAUUGGACAAUGGGCGCAAGCCUGAUCCAGCAAUGCCGCGUGUGUGAAGAAGGCCUGCGGGUUGUAAAGCACUUUAGGUUGGGAAGAAAGCCUAUGGAAGACAAAGCCAUAGGGAUGACGUUACCAACAGAAUAAGCACCGGCUAACUCUGUGCCAGCAGCCGCGGUAAUACAGAGGGUGCGAGCGUUAAUCGGAAUUACUGGGCGUAAAGGGUGCGUAGGCGGCUAAAUAAGUCAGAUGUGAAAGCCCUGGGCUUAACCUGGGAACUGCAUUUGAUACUAUCUAGCUAGAGUACAGUAGAGGAUAGUGGAAUUCCCGGUGUAGCGGUGAAAUGCGUAGAUAUCGGGAGGAACAUCAGUGGCGAAGGCGACUAUCUGGACUGAUACUGACGCUGAGGUACGAAAGCGUGGGGAGCAAACAGGAUUAGAUACCCUGGUAGUCCACGCCCUAAACGAUGAGAACUAGCUGUUGGGGGAGUUAAAUCCCUAAGUAGCGAAGCAAACGCGCUAAGUUCUCCGCCUGGGGACUACGGCCGCAAGGUUAAAACUCAAAUGAAUUGACGGAAGGGCGAAUUCGUUUAAACCUGCAGGACUAGUCCCUUUAGUGAGGGUUAAUUCUGAGCUUGGCGUAAUCAUGGUCAUAGCUGUUUCCUGUGUGAAAUUGUUAUCCGCUCACAAUUCCACACAACAUACGAGCCGGAAGCAUAAAGUGUAAAGCCUGGGGUGCCUAAUGAGUGAGCUAACUCACAUUAAUUGCGUUGCGCUCACUGCCCGCUUUCCAGUCGGGAAACCUGUCGUGCCAGCUGCAUUAAUGAAUCGGCCAACGCGCGGGGAGAGGCGGUUUGCCGUAUUGGGCGCUCUUCCGCUUCCUCGCUCACUGACUCGCUGCGCUCGGUCGUUCGGCUGCGGCGAGCGGUAUCAGCUCACUCAAAGGCGGUAAUACCGGUUAUCCACAGAAUCAGGGGAUAACGCAGGAAAGAACAUGUGAGCAAAAGGCCAGCAAAAGGCCAGGAACCCGUAAAAAGGCC